rnacentral:lncRNA from 1 species
UUGGUGCCCUUGGCUGAAUCACUAACAUUCUAGAGGUUUGUUUUCAGAACUGUUCCGGGCUCAGGAACCUUUAACUUUGCAUAUUCUCACAGUGACAUUUAGGGGUCCAGUGAAUCUGAAAUUUCAGCAGUAAAUUCAAGUUUCCACUUUUGUGAAUAAUGCUUUCAUACUGAAUUUUUGUUUCUUGUAAAUCACUUUUUUUAAUAUAAUUUCUUUUUAUUUAAAGCACUGAGAAAACUCACUCCCCAACCUCAUCAUUGUUUCCAUUAAAGCCUUUCUGAAAGAUGCUGUACGAUCAAAUCCCAGGUUUGCACUUGUUGCAUCUCCAAGCUGCCCUGUGAGACACUUAAGAGGGGUACCACAUAGGUGCACACUUGGGAGACCCACCAGCCAAAUUCAGUUACACCCCCCCCCCCUUAAUUCUGUAAAUACUUUGUUAGGAUAGAGGUGUGCUCAUUUGCAUAUUUUCAUAUUUCUCAAAAUUGCAAAGAUGAGUAUUGUAAACCUCAGUCUUGUGGCCCAUGGAGGGCAAACAUAGUUACCAAAGCAAAGGUGGCUGGGGUAGGGGGAAAACACUGUCUGUUCAGCCGUUAGGCUGUUUCUCAGAUCCUGCGGUGAGUGGUUUGCUUGUCUCCAAGUGUUAGGGAUUCAGGACAGAAGAGGUUUUGUUGAGUGUUGAGCUUUCCAGGCCCCUCUCUGUAGGACUUGAGUUCCUUUGGUCUAUUUAGGGUGUAUGUGAAUUGGUACUGUCACACAGAUACUGUGGUCAUUCAAAUGUGCUCACCUGGAGUUGUUUUGUGUCUUGAUUGAGAAGUCUUGAUCUAAUAAGCUUGGAUGGAUGUUGUCAUAGAUUCCCCAGAACUUGGUCACAGAAGCCCAUUCAAGUAUUAGAAAAACAGCUUCACUAGGCCAUGAGCUGGUAGGAAAAGGCACAUUUAUUCCCAUGAGUUGCUUAGCAUCCUAGGCAUGUCCACAGAAGUAAUGGCUUGUCACUCUUAUGCGGGCUAGUAGACAUUGCAUUAGAAAGCCCAGUUUUGACCACUUCCUGUCCUUGAGUUGAGGUCCAUGUUUUGGCUCUGUAGUCAGAGGCAAGUGUCAUAACCUCUUUUGGGUUUUCUGUCUUUUUGUUCUUUGGGAAAUCAGAGCAUGCCAGGUGAUGGUGAUGAUACAAAGUGCAUCUGUAAAUGUUUGUGAAACUUCAUGCCCAGUGGAGCUUCAAGCAGAGGCCCUGGUCCUGAUUUCUUUUCCUUUUUAAUCCUCCCCAGUAAUUUUCUGGUCUCCUUUGCACAGAUGUUGCAUCCAGACCACAACAGAUGUUCAAGCUUGCAGAAGUUAGAUCAGUAGCUAGUGACCACCCAGGGAUUAGACUAGACCCUAGGUCUUCCAGACCCUCAAGUACUGAGCUCCCAGGGGGAUAGCUCAUCAGAAGUACUAUAACUCAAAGUUGGACAUUUGAUUGGUCAAAUUCAGAGGUCAAGACUUAGAGGCAUUUCUAUAACCCCCAAUGGCUGUAGUCUGUUUCCCAGGCUGUCUGCCUGUACUGCUAGAAUUGGAAAGACUUCCAAGAACUUCCACGGUAUCCAUUGUCUACCUCACUUGCCUGUUAGGUUUCAAAGAAGGGAGUGAAGAGGCUGGAAUAGGAAUGUGUGCAUCAGAGUGUGAGGCAUGCUCUGAUCUCAUGACGGGCAGAGGACAGGAGGACAAGUGUUGUUAUGCCAAUCACCCUUGGGCUCAGCAGCCUAUUGGCUGGCAAGCAUGAUACAGGGUGUGUGGCAGCCAUAGCACCCUGAGCUGCAGGGGUUUAUUUAUUUGUUUCAUUGCUCUUAAGUGAUCCUUCGGGGUCCCCUUAGAAGGAGGAGAGAAAAUUCUUUCAGGGAAGUAUGGCACGAUACCUCAUCACCUCCUGACACCUACACAUUUAGGGAGGGCGCCGAGCGGGAAAAACUGGAGAGGUUGAAAUACCAUAGGGGAAAGGUUUGUAGAUUUUUUUUUUCUUGACUGUUCACUUUGUGAAGUGAUUAAAAGAAGGGGGAAAAGAAAACCCCAACGAUCAUUCUCUAUAACAGCUGUUGUAUGCUACCUCAAUAAAGUGCCUUUUACCAUAACAUAGCAUCAUUAGACUCUAUAAAUCUUACCCUGUUUAUUGUGCUUAACUGACAAAUGCUUUCCAAUAAAAUGACAUCAUUGGCGUGAGGAGUUAUGUUCAUUUUAUAAGUUUCUCUUAAAUUUAGAUGAUUUUAAUCUCCCCCCCUUUUUAUGUUGGAUGAUACGAGCCCCUAACUGUGUCUGUCUGACAUGUUUUCCACUCCAAAUAAUACUUGAGGCCUCAUAGUCUUUGAUCUUGUGGACACUCUCUUUCAAUGCAGGACUAUUGCCAGUGGGAGCUUAUCACCUAAUCCAUGGGUGGCACCCUCCCACUCGGGGGUUGCUCCCUCCCCCAGCUCCAAGCAUAUAUUUGCAUCUAUUCUAAUACUAACAGCUCACUGAGACUGUAGGGAGAGCACCUACCCAUCAGAGAGGAGCGAGAGCCACGCUUCAGGGACCCUUGACGGCCCUCCUAUGGUAUUAGGUUUUUACUCUUUACUUAUAAUGGCUCAUGCUGAACCUCACACUUUUACCACCUGGAUUAGGUGAGGAAGAUGUGGCUUUUCAGUGGGCAUUAGCCAUUGAGAGGAGAAAAAGAAGCCUAGAGUAUCCACCUAGGAAGGCAUGUGACUUGGCUAGGUCCCAGUGUCGUUCUAUUCUCAUAUAAAUGGCAAGUUCCCAUGUUCCUAAGUCAAUACCGGGGCCAGUGCUAGGACGUCAAGUUGUUGUCAUCUCAAGAUUCAUAAAAAUGCUCAUCUGCGCUGUUCCCCAGCUGCUCUGUGCAGUGUUUGUUUUUUGCAUCUGUCUUCCCCCAAGCCUGGCUUUGUGGGCCUUUGUAGGGGAGAAGCCCCUCUUGCGGGCUGGCUCACCGGGGCGAUUCACAGGAGCGCGUUACAUAUGUACAGCAUCGCCUGAAGUUCUUUAUUCUACCCCCUUUUGUGAUCAGUCAGGGCCCAAGUAUAUUAUAGAGUGUAGUCUCCUCAUUAAAACAAUAGCGAGAGCUCACAAAGGGAAAUUGUUAAUAUGUGUUCCCGCCUGUCACUUCUGCCCGUGUGAAUACAGAAGAUAACCGCUCCUUUGGGAAACUACUUCGGGAAUUGAGCAACACAUCCGCUAGCCAGAGAAUUCUCCUAACUGCAAUUUUCCUUUUUGUGUGUACUCAGAAAUAACAUCCUUAUGGGCUGCUCAGUGCCACGGCGCAGACAGAGCACAAUUGCCACAGCCCAGGUGGCGUUAAUAUGGGACAAUCCCCCGGGCACAUGUCGCCAAGAGUUGUACAGCUUGUUCAGUGUCUUCAUCCAUAUGGCAAUCUGUCCCAUUCACAGAAAGGCAUCAGGGCUGUGCCGGGUGGGGACCGUGGUCAAUGUAGUGUGAAGAGUCAGGCUCUGUUCAUGCCUCCUCCCUCGUCUGGAAUAUUUAAUUGUAGACCAGCAAGCACUCAUCUCUCUCUCUCUCUCUCUUUCUCUUUCUCUCCUUUUAAAAAACUACCCUGAAGGCUAUCUUUGAGGGACAAUCUCACAGGUUUUGUGUUUUGCAUGUUGACUGUGAAUAGUGAAAGAGCUGAGGACUGAGGUGGUUGGCGGAAGGGAAAAAGCUCCCUAACACGUGCAGGGGAAAUGAAGUGUACAGUGUGUGCUUUCAGAGAGGCGGCCUGAGCUCCCUGGGACAAUUCAAGGUCACUGUAUAUCAUGUCUGUGGUUAUUUCUCUUUGUGUCUAAACCCAUCGCUGGGAACAUUCUGGUGUACAUGAGCCCCGAUACUCAACCCCCAUUUCUCUAUAUGAGUCAUAGCUAUGACAAGAAACGAGACAUCUCGUGUUCAAGAUCAGUGUGAGAGAUAAAUGGCAGUUUACUUUAAUUAGAAAAAAAUUGACACCAAGAGCUGGGAGAAUCCAGUGGCUUUUGAAUAAAUUAGAGGAUGGUACAGACUGGAAUAAAACAGAAACUUAAGGACAAAUGGGAAGUUGUCCACAGUUUAACAACAACAACUG